UAUGACCAGACUACUAGACUGAAUCUGGGUUUAUAUAACCAGUGUCCAGACUACUAGACUGAAUCUGGGUGUAUAUAACCAGACUACUAGACUGAAUCUGGGUUUAUAUAACCAGACUACUAGGUUGAAUCUGGGUGUAUAUAACCAGAGUGUCUGGGAUACCCUCCCUAUUUGUAUGAAUUUAGUUCAGAUGUUUUGUAAUAAUGUAUUGAAUGAAGUGUAAAGAACUAGGUUUGUAUUUAUUUU
rnacentral:lncRNA from 13 species